AUCCAGCAAACGAGUUGUAAACAGGAUGAAACGCGCGUCCUGGAU
rnacentral:hammerhead_ribozyme from 1 species